rnacentral:lncRNA from 1 species
CUGAUUAUACAGCUCAAAUUAGCCUCACCAUCCUAUUUAUUUGAUCCCUUCAUGUAUGUUACUCUCAUACAAGUUAUAAUGCUCGGAGAAAAUUGGAGUCACAGCCGCCUGCUGGUACACUAUCUUGCUACUUACUGUGAGGUUAUCCUCUAUAAUUUUACGAUUAUUAUCUUUCCAAUGCCUUCAGCAAUUAUGUUUGCAGAUGAAUGAAUACUUGCAUUAUUUUGCAUCCCAUCUAUACACGUUUAUUGGUUCUUCUUAUGGAUUAUUGUUAAAUUUUGCUAUCUAAUUUCCUACAAUAGAACAAUGAAACACGGAUGGUUAUGCUACAUGGAGGGCCAGAGUUUCACUAUUCAUUUUGUCAUGCACGCUCAAAACAAAACCAAAAGAUAUCAUCGGAUUGUAGCACUGUAGGUUGUUUCCCUAGUUAGCCCUAUGGGAUGUCGUACACACUUCAAGUUUAAAACUUUCCUUCCAGUUGUUGAAAAACAUGUUGCCUCACUAUCAUGCCUCGCUUUUGUAGGAGAUCUUGCAGCUUCCGCUCAUCGGCGAUCUUAAUGGAGUGGCUAAACAAAAUAUUCAGAUAAAUAUGAAGAGUCUAUUCUCUCAUUUCAGUUUUUUUGAAGAACCAAGAAUGCCAAGUACAAGUCAACUUCGAAUUGUUUCUUUGCUACGAAUGAAAAAGAUAAAAUCAUGUGAGGAGGGAAUUUCUAGACAAGGUACAACCAAUAGGUAUAAGCCUUUCAAAAAAGUUAUCAUGCCAAUAUAAAUAAAUAAAUUAGUUUUGUUUCUGUACGGUACUGCUUCCUUAGCAAAUAAAA